UGCACUAGACAUUUAUAAUUUGUUCUGUCUGUCAGAACGGGACUAUGAGAGGUUUUGGUGCAAAUUCAUUAUCUCUGGCAAAACAUAACAUAUAGUAGGAAGUGAAAAAGACCGUGGCAAUGGAUGAAAAACAAUAGGGCUUCAGUUCAUCAGCAACAAAAGCGUUGGGGAAAUUGGUUGAAUUUCGGAGCACGUCCUCCUAAGCAGAGAGGCUGGACUACACCUUGGCCAACCCCCACAAAAACUUGCAGAACCUCAUAUACAACAGUUCACUUUUUACUCCGGGGUGUAGGAAACAGUGAGGAAAAAGAAAAAAAAAAUGGUAAACCCAAGCCAACUUUCUCCAUCUCUCUCCCGUUUUCAUGGAUGGAAGAUUUUAAACUAUUUUAGAGUCAUUGGAACAAGAACAACACCGUGGAUCUAAGGGACACUUUUAAAUAGGGAUGGAGAGGGGAAAUACUUGAAUUUCUGGAGACCCGACAGAGCUUUUUCUGCUCCUGGGGGGCUUGGCUGUGGGAAUCUUUGUUUGACACCAGGGACGCAACUCACGCCCUACAUGUGGGGUAAAAAUCAUUCCCUGAUAAAGGCGAAGAUAUAGCAUGGCUAGUGACCUAUCUUCCUGAGGAGAAUGGCUGAGAUGUCUUUGAAAUUAUUCCUGGAAUUAGACCAGCAUAAGAUGUCCUCUACCAAAGUGAGAGGUGGCAAGGCGGCCACUGGGGCCCUUCCCAGUGUGGCUGGGACCAUGCAGCCAGGACUAUCUCAGCACAGUCCACAGCAAACUGUGCUUGCUUGGCUGCUUUUAACUAGCCAUGCUGAGGGCAGAAGGGCAGAGGCGGCAGCAGCAGCUUCUCCUUUCAGCGCCCCACAUGAAGAGAGGCACUGAAUGGAGCUGGCACUGUGGCAGCUGGCGCCACCUGCGCUGUGCCGGUGGGGACCACGUGGCCAACAGUGAGGGACAUGACAAACAAUUCCCCAGUGCGGAGCCUGGAUGCGAUCAACCCUAUAAGAACCUUUCAGUUUAUAGAACUUGAUAACAACCAAAUCUACGGACACCAAUUCUCUCCUAAGUCUGAGAAAAGGAAAAGGGGAAGACACAUGAGAACAACAUGGGGACACCAAGGUCAGUGAAAGGAGGGAGGAGCAGGAGGUGUUCCAGGCUUCAGAACUGAGAUUCUUCUACAAGCUAUGGUGAGAACUAUAAUACAACAAACUGUUUUCCUGUAACUCAUUAAGUGCAUGAAGGGAUGCAGAGGUCCACUCGCAGCCCGUGAGAAAAUGUGUUCAUGCUGAAGCAUGUGGAUGCUGAAAAGCUGUACUCUAGUGGGAAACUCGAACAGAGAGAGAGAAUAUAGAGAAGGAGAACCCUUUCUUCCAAACCAGAACAAAUCAUCCUUAAAAACUACACCCCAUGAACUAAAAUGACCCAUGCCAUGUAGUUCAAGAAGACUGUUUUGCCCGUGGGAGUGACACACAUUGCAGCAGGUUGGGCAGGACUGCUACUCCUGAAAAUUAGAACCACAUUGGAGAAGUUCACAAAGAACUGUCUCCCAUGGGAAUGACCCCACAAUAUAACAGAAGAUAGUCCUCUCCCUAAGUGAACUGAAGAGUUUUAGAAGUGACAAACUGAGUAAAAACCCCAUGUUUUGUCUCCCUGCACUGUCAGUGAGAAGGAAAGAAGGGCUGGGGGGGAGGAGGAGGAGGUGUUCUAAAGGUUUAUUUUAGUUCUCAUUUUCUUCUUUUAAUUCUUUAAUAAAUUUUUCUUCAUGCCUUUUAA